ACGUGCGAAAACAGACUGCGACAGACAGUUUCAUUAUCUGAUUACUCAAGUGCAUAUAAACGUGUUGAUCGUAUUACAGACAAAAUCUGAUUUUCUGCAGUAAUCAGAUUAAGUGCAUGUAAACGCACUCAGUGGUUCAUUGUGAACCGGGUUCAGUCAGCACUCUAUGAGGUCUAUAUAUGAAGUUUAAAUGUGUUGCUUAGUGGACCUUUAACUGGUUUACUAUCUGAAGAUAUUGCAAACUGUCCCAUUUUAAUAUGUAAUAAGUAGAUUAGUGUAAUCAGUGUAUUUGUUUGUUUUUUCUUUCAACUCUGCACUCCUCUGUGUGUGUUUGUGUUUCUCAUUGUCGAUACCCGCCUCCUUUCCAUUUGUCUAGUAUAAUGUAGCGAUGGGCAUGAGUAAUCGACUGAGUAGCUGAUAGGAAACUCUCUGUUUGACAAGCAAAAUUGCAAAAUUGGUUUAAUGUUGUUUGAGAUGAAAUAAGGAAAAACUCCUAAUACAGUCACACCUGAAUCUCACCUGAGUUAUAGAUGAAACUUGGCAUGGCAGCGUUGCUAAAAGAGUCAGACAGGUUUGCAUCGGACUGUUGGUUUUAAUUUUAACUGAGUAACUCGGCCACAAAAUUACUCAAAAUGCCCAUCACUAGUAUAAUUCACGAAAGGUAACACCUUCAUUUUGCACAGUCACAUCAUCUUCUUUUCUGCUGCUUCAUUCUCUCUCUCUCUCUCUCUCUCUGUCUCUCUCUCUCUCUUUAUAAUGUAUAAUAUCAAUGCUGAGAUACUGAAUGAAAUGCAUUGGUUGAAAAUGAAAGUGAUGUCAAUGAUGGCCAUUGAGACUGAGUUGCACCAGCCUUCAUGCUUGUACCUCAUAGGUCCAUCUCCAUUGUAGAGCCCAGCUCCGCUCCUCUGUAACUAAACCUACUGAAGCCCACUGGCCUGCUGUCAGUGUUUGUCUUCUGCAGCAAUACAGAUGAGAUGCCCCAUCUCGUCCUGUCCCCCAUCAUAUCCUCACUGCCCCUCAAUACUGAUCAGUCCAUUCCCUCCAAACUUAAAGGAUCCACCAAACGGGAGCAGUGCUUAAUAUGGAUUUUUCAGCUCCUUAUAAAGCAGGUUGACUCAGGAAUGGGUAGAAAAAGCAGGAGAAUGGAUAGAGAGAGAAAAGAGAGAGCGCACGCAUCACUAGAGCGUGCGCUGUCCUCUCUGUGCGAUCAAACACACUGUCGAGCCAAGUGUGUGCUUUCUCACUCGCUCUCUCCUUCAUGAUGCCUGGUCCAUGUCUAAGUUGAAAAACAGACUGACUCAAGUGUCAGGGACAAAACAAGUUGGCCAUCCUCACAUACUAAGAGAGGGAGAGAGUGAACUUUAACGAACGAGAUAAAACGGCCCAUACCGGCCUUAGAGAGCGGUUGGUCGGCCUUCUGCUUUCGUUCUCUCUCCUUCCAUCUUGGUUUGUUGCUCAUCAGAAAAGAGGGAUGGAAAUAGUGUCGAAGCUCUUCGCAAGGAGCGCCUCCGCAUAAAACGAUGCUUAAAGGUUCUGCUUUAUUGGAAAAAGAAAAGUUGUUUUUGUUUUUCAUUUUAUUUGUCAUUUUUGUAAAUAACAACAAUAUGGAACAUACCUAAAUAACUUCUCCGGCGUGGGUUGCUGUAAUUUUGCUGUAAUGCUCUGUAUUCCUCGUUGUUUGUAAAGAGUGGAUACGUAACCCAUGAUGAGACAAAAGCCUCUGUUUGUUCUUGUAUUUUGUCCACUCAAGGUCCAGAAAUAGAAACUCAAUGAUUAUCAAUGGAGAAAAAAAACAUCAUGUUCUGCCUGCAUGAUAAUAACUGAGGUGCUUUAAAAAUGGAACACAAUGGAAAGAGCUUUGUUAAUGUACCCUUUUAAUUGAUCUCUUUGGGAGAACCCAAAAGAAAAAAAAGAAAAGAAAUACUCUUUUUGUGUUUUCAGUUUUUUUUUUUUUGUUCAUUGGAUUGUAGCAUGUCUGGGAAAUAUAUCUUUUAAAAAAUUAUUUGGUUCAAAUUAAAAUGGUCUGGAAAGCUUGAUAGUAAAUGAAAUAUCAAAACUAAUGUUUAUAGCUGAAUAAGCACAAGGGUUACUUUGCACAGAUUCACCUAGAACCAGGCAGGUCAUGGAUUUCCAUGGGGG